CCGGACAGCGCGGGGCAACCUGGCGGCGAGUGGCGAACGGGUGAGUAAUACAUCGGAACGUACCCAGAAGUGGGGGAUAACGUAGCGAAAGUUACGCUAAUACCGCAUACGUUCUACGGAAGAAAGUGGGGGAUCGUCAGACCUCCUGCUUUUGGAGCGGCCGAUGUCUGAUUAGCUUGUUGGGGAGGGAAAGGGUCCCCCAGGCGACCAUCAGUAGCUGGGCUGAAAGGACCACCAGCCCCCCUGGGGCUGAAACCCCGCCCAAACUCCUACCGGAGGGAGCCAGGGGGAAUUUUGGACAAUGGGCGCAAGCCUGAUCCCGGAAUGCCCCGUGAGUGAAGAAAGGCUUCGGGUUGGAAAGCUCUUUUGUCAGGGAAGAAACCGGUGGGGCUUAUAUCCCCCGCUUAUGACCGUACCUGAAGAAUAAGCACCGGCUUACUACCUGCCAGCAGCCGCGGUAAUACCUAGGGUGCAAGCGUUAAUCGGAAUUACUGGGCGUAAAGCGUGCGCCAGCGGGUUUGGAAGUCCGACGUGAAAUCCCCGGGCUCCACCUGGGAAUUGCGUUGGAGACUGCCAGGCUGGAGUCUGGCAGAGGGGGGUAGAAAUCCACGUGUAGCAGUGAAAUGCGUAGAGAUGUGGAGGAACACGAUGGCGAGGCAGCCCCCUGGGUCAAGACUGACGCUCA
rnacentral:rRNA from 2 species